GCUGCCCGGAAUUUAACGAGGAUGAGAACCUCCGGGGGCAAGAGGUUCGACUCGAGCGUAGCGAGAGAACGUUGCGCAAGCAACGGCCCGAAGGGCGAGCCACGCAGUGGCGAGUAAUCCUCUAUCACCGACCA
rnacentral:sRNA from 1 species